ACCUAGAGCCAUGUCACGCAGAAUGAACCAGAUCUGGUCUGAUCUCUGAAGCUAAGUAAAGCUGGGCCUUGUGAGUGCUUAGGGGGAAGAAGCAAUAGUCUUAGGAU
rnacentral:rRNA from 1 species